rnacentral:sRNA from 1 species
GUGACCGUGGUGCAGUCCAUUGGCACGGAGGUCAUCGGCACACUGCGGCCUGACUAUCGAGACCGUAUCCGGCUCUUUGAAAAUGGCUCCCUGCUUCUCAGCGACUUGCAGCUGGCCGAUGAGGGCACCUAUGAGGUCGAGAUCUCCAUCACCGACGACACCUUCACUGGGGAGAAGACCAUCAACCUUACUGUAGAUGUGCCCAUUUCGAGGCCACAGGUGUUGGUGGCUUCAACCACUGUGCUGGAGCUCAGCGAGGCCUUCACCUUGAACUGCUCACACGAGAAUGGCACCAAGCCCAGCUACACCUGGCUGAAGGAUGGCAAGCCCCUCCUCAAUGACUCGAGAAUGCUCCUGUCCCCCGACCAAAAGGUGCUCACCAUCACCCGCGUGCUCAUGGAGGACGAUGACCUGUACAGCUGCGUGGUGGAGAACCCCAUCAGCCAGGGCCGCAGCCUGCCCGUCAAGAUCACCGUAUACAGUGAGUUUCCCUGCAGACUUUCCUUUAGGACUCAAAGCCCCGAGAGGCAGGUGACCAUGAGGGACUGAGGACAUCCCAAAGAAAUGUCACUGGGGGGAGGGGAACAGAGAUGGG